rnacentral:rRNA from 1 species
UAGUAACGGCGAGUGAAGCGGGAAGAGCUCAAGCUUAAAAUCUCUGCGCAAGUUUUGCGUGGCGAAUUGUAGUCUAUAGACGCGUAAUCAGUGCGGCUGCUCGGGAUAAGUUCCUUGGAAGAGGACAGCAUGGAGGGUGAUACUCCCGUUUGUGCCUGAGCAUGUUGCGCGUACGAUUUGUGUUCUUUGAGUCGCGUUGUUUGGGAAUGCAGCGCAAAGUAGGUGGUAAAUUCCAUCUAAAGCUAAAUAUUGGUGCGAGACCGAUAGCGAACAAGUACCGUGAGGGAAAGAUGAAAAGAACUUUGAAAAGAGAGUUAAAGAGUACCUGAAACUGCUGAAAGGGAACCGGGUCGUUGCCAGUGUCUAUAAUCGUCGGCAUAUUUCAUUGCUGUGCGGGUCUGUGUCGCGCGUUGGUAGUAGUUUGUUCUGCGCCGCGUGUGUCGUUCAGGUUUGCUCGGCGGUGCCCUGUGUCGGUGUGGGACGUCAGAGUCAGUUCGUGUGCUGCGGGAAAUGGCUGUCGAGGAGGUAGGUCAGGAGUUCGCUUUUGGCUGUUAUAUCUUGGCGUGCUAGUUGUCGUGGUUGGGACUGAGGUGCCUACAACGUGCUUUUGAGUGCGUGUGCGUCUCUGUUUGCGUGCGAGUUGGAUAGCUUGCUAUGCAGUUUGCAUUGUGUGCGGAUGGAUGUAUGCGUUAACUUGUUGCCGUUC